rnacentral:rRNA from 1 species
ACCGGGACAAGCGAGGUAGGAGAUGAAUAGGCAAAUCCGUUCAUCAAUCUGAAGACGUGAUGUGGAGCGAACAUUAGUAGCGAAGCACAUGAGCUGGCUGUCGAGAAAAGCCGCUAUUGUUUAUGCAGUACCCGUACCGUAAACCGACACAGGUGGAUGAGGAGAGGAUCCUAAGGCCGGCGGGAGAAGUGUUGUUAAGGAACUCGGCAAAAUGACCCCGUAACUUCGGGAGAAGGGGUGCCAUCCUCCGGGAUGGCCGCAGAGAAAUGGCCCAAGCAACUGUUUAGCAAAAACAUAGGUCUAUGCGAAACCGAAAGGUGAAGUAUAUGGGCUGACGCCUGCCCGGUGCUGGAAGGUUAAGAGGAGAGGUUAGACGCAAGUCGAAGCUUUGAAUUUAAGCCCCAGUAAACGGCGGCCGUAACUAUAACGGUCCUAAGGUAGCGAAAUUCCUUGUCGGGUAAGUUCCGACCCGCACGAAAGGCGUAAUGAUUUGGGCACUGUCUCAACAACACACCCGGUGAAAUUGAAAUACCAGUGAAGAUGCUGGUUACCUGCGCCAGGACGGAAAGACCCCAUGGAGCUUUACUCUAGCUUGAUACUGGGAUUCGGUACGAUAUGUACAGGAUAGGUGGGAGACUGAGAAGCAGGUCCGUCAGGAUCUGUGGAGCCGCUGUUGGGAUACCACCCUUAUCGUACUGGGUUUCUAACCCGUAGCUGUUAUCCAGCGCGGGGACAAUGUCUGGUGGGGAGUUUGACUGGGGCGGUCGCCUCCGAAAGGGUAUCGGAGGCGCUCAAAGGUUCCCUCAGAAUGGUUGGAAACCAUUCGAAGAGUGCAAAGGCAGAAGGGAGCUUGACUGUGACACCGACGGGUGGAACAGAUACGAAAGUAGGACUUAGUGAUCCGGUGGUAUAAAGUGGGAUUGCCAUCGCUCAACGGAUAAAAGCUACCCUGGGGAUAACAGGCUGAUCACUCCCAAGAGUUCACAUCGACGGAGUGGUUUGGCACCUCGAUGUCGGCUCAUCGCAUCCUGGAGCUGUAGCAGGUUCCAAGGGUUGGGCUGUUCGCCCAUUAAAGCGGUACGCGAGCUGGGUUCAGAACGUCGUGAGACAGUUCGGUCCCUAUCCGGCGCGGGCGGAGGAUAUUUGAGAGGAGCUGUCCUUAGUACGAGAGGACCGGGAUGGACGGACCGCUGGUGUACCAGUUGCAUUACCAAGUGCAGAGCUGGGUAGCCAAGUCCGGAUUGGAUAAACGCUGAAGGCAUCUAAGCGUGAAGCCAACCUCAAGAUAAGAUAUCCCACUCCCUAGAGGAGUUAAGACCCCUUGAAGACUACGAGGUUGAUAGGCACCGAGUGUAAGUGUGGUAACACAUUCAGCUGAGGUGUACUAAUAGGUCGAGGGCUUAUUCA